UAUGGAAGAUUUUUGUUGGUAUUGAAAGUGUUUUUAAGAGACUAGGGCUGAACGUUGAGGUCCGUGUUGUAGUCUUAGUUUUUUUGUAAAUCUACAUGUAAGUUUAAGCUAGUAAUAAAUAGUUAUAGAGUUUUAUAAGAGAAUCUCAGUAGAAAGUUUUAGAAAUAAAGAAAAGUUUUAUCUAGACAAUAAAUUAGGAGUGGAUAAUGGCGUGCCAGCAGCCGCGGUUAUACUUCAGCUCCAAGCUAAGAUUUCAGUACAAGAUUGUGUUUUGAAAUAAUAAUUUGAUUAUAACUUAUUAAGAUUGUAGAGUAGAAUCUAAAUUUCUAGAAGGGAUAAUUGGUCUAAAGCAUAGGAUUUAUUUUAGGGACCAGGAUUAGAUACCCUGUUACUUUUAAUUAAAUAAUUUUGGAAUAAUAGUUUUUAUGAAAUUUAACGGAUUUGGCGGCAAGAUAGCCCCUUAGAGGAACCUGCCCUGUAAACGAUGAACCACGAGAGACCCUACUUUUUUUGGUGAUCAGUUUGUAUAUCGCUGUUGUCAGUUAGAUUCUUGAGAAUAUUUUCAUUCAUGAUAAGUUCAUUGACUUCAAGUAAAGGUGCAGCUUAUAGAAAAGAUAGAGGUGGGUUACAUUUAUAAGAUUAAAUACGGAUAAGAUGAAUGAAACAUUCUUUGAAGGUGGAUUUAACUGUAAAACUUAAUUAAGUUUGGUGAGAGCUCUAUCUUGUGUACACACCGCCCGUCGCUCUCUUUUUUAAAACGAGAUAAGUCGUAACAAGGUAAGUGUAAUGGAAAUUGUACUUGA
rnacentral:rRNA from 1 species